UACGAAGGGGGCUAGCGUUGCUCGGAAUCACUGGGCGUAAAGGGUGCGUAGGCGGGUCUUUAAGUCAGAGGUGAAAUCCUGGAGCUCAACUCCAGAACUGCCUUUGAUACUGAGGAUCUUGAGUACGGGAGAGGUGAGUGGAACUGCGAGUGUAGAGGUGAAAUUCGUAGAUAUUCGCAAGAACACCAGUGGCGAAGGCGGCUCACUGGCCCGUAACUGACGCUGAGGCGCGAAAGCGUGGGGAGCGAACAGG
rnacentral:rRNA from 1 species